rnacentral:rRNA from 1 species
AUGGCUUGCUUCAAGCUCAACCCCACGUCCGUCGCGCUCGCCGCAGCCGUCGCCGUCAUCCUGGCGGUGGCGGCGCCGCGGCCGGCGGCCGGGGCGUCGGCGCACCUGCACGUGUACAUGCACGACGUGAUGGACGACAGCGCGAUGAUGGUGGUGCGCGGUCCGCGGGGCAACUUCGGCAACACGGUGGUGAUGGACGACGUGCUGACGGAGGGCACGUCGUCGUCGUCGGCCGCCGUGGGGCGUGCGCAGGGGCAGUACGUCGUCGCCUCCUCCAAGGGCGGGUUCGAGCUGAUGGUGACCAUGAACGUGGUGCUCACGUCGGGGGCCUACGCGGGGAGCUCGGUGACGGUGAUGGGCCGCGACGACACCGGCGUGGCGGUGCGCGAGCUGGCCGUGGUCGGCGGCACGGGGCAGUUCCGGAUGGCGAAGGGCUACGUGCUGUGGAAGACCGUCCGCCCCGACCUGCUGGAGCUCGACAUCUACGUCAACCCAUGA